ACAGCACAGGGUGAUGCCUGAGUCCCCAUUGCUGACGUGAGAAGAAUUUUUGAGUGGGUAAAGGUUGCUCCCUAAGGCGACCCACCUACCUUGCAGGAUGCCUGGGUGUGGUAGUCUGCCCG
rnacentral:snRNA from 1 species